rnacentral:hammerhead_ribozyme from 1 species
AUUCAGCUGACGAGUGGCAAAUAGGACGAAACCCGUAUCCUAGAU